rnacentral:rRNA from 1 species
GGAGUUAGCCGAUGCUUAUUCUUCAGGUACACGUCAUUUAUUCCUCCCUGAAAAAAGAGGUUUACAACCCAUAGGCCGUCAUCCCUCACGCGGUAUUGCUCCGUCAGGCUUUCGCCCAUUGCGGAAAAUUCCC